AUUGAGCGCUGGCGGCAGGCCUAACACAUGCAAGUCGAGCGGAUGAAGGGAGCUUGCUCCUGGAUUCAGCGGCGGACGGGUGAGUAAUGCCUAGGAAUCUGCCUGGUAGUGGGGGAUAACGUCCGGAAACGGGCGCUAAUACCGCAUACGUCCUGAGGGAGAAAGUGGGGGAUCUUCGGACCUCACGCUAUCUGAUGAGCCUAGGUCGGAUUAGCUAGUUGGUGGGGUAAAGGCCUACCAAGGCGACGAUCCGUAACUGGUCUGAGAGGAUGAUCAGUCACACUGGAACUGAGACACGGUCCAGGCUCCUGCGGGAGGCAGCAGUGGGGAAUAUUGGACAAUGGGCGAAAGCCUGAUCCAGCCAUGCCGCGUGUGUGAAGAAGGUCUUCGGAUUGUAAAGCACUUUAAGUUGGGAGGAAGGGCAGUAAGUUAAUACCUUGCUGUUUUGACGUUACCAACAGAAUAAGCACCGGCUAACUUCGUG
rnacentral:rRNA from 1 species